rnacentral:rRNA from 1 species
UACGUAGGGUGCGAGCGUUGUCCGGAAUUAUUGGGCGUAAAGAGCUCGUAGGCGGUUUGUCGCGUCUGUCGUGAAAACUGGAGGCUUAACCUUCAGCUUGCGGUGGAUACGGGCAGACUUGAGUUCGGUAGGGGAGACUGGAAUUCCUGGUGUAGCGGUGAAAUGCGCAGAUAUCAGGAGGAACACCAAUGGCGAAGGCAGCUCACUGGGACGGUAUUGACGCUGAGACGCGAAAGCGUGGGGAGCAAACAGG